GUGAAUAGGCCCAGGCAACUGUUUACCAAAAACACAGGUCUCUGCUAACACGUAAGUGGAUGUAUAGGGGCUGACGCCUGCCCAGUGCUGGAAGGUUAAAGAGAUUAGUUAGUAUGACGUAAGUCGAUAAUACGAAGCUUUGAACUGAAGCCCCAGUGAACGGCGGCCGUAACUAUAACGGUCCUAAGGUAGCGAAAUUCCUUGUCAGGUAAGUUCUGACCCGCACGAAAGGCGUAAUGAUCUGGGUACUGUCUCAACCAUAGACUCGGUGAAAUCUUAAUACCUGUGAAAAUGCAGGUUACCCGCGACUGGACGGAGAGACCCCGUGGAGCUUUACUGUAGCUUGAUAUUGGAAUUCGGUAAACUAUGUAGAGCAUAGGUGGGAGACUAUGAGAUUAAGGCGCCAGCCUUAAAGGAGUCACCAUUGGAAUACCACCCUUAGUUUAUUGGAUUUCUAACCUAGGACCAUAAUCUGGUUCAGGGACAGUGUCUGGUGGGCAGUUUGACUGGGGCGGUCGCCUCCUAAAAUGUAACGGAGGCGUUCAAAGGUUCCCUCAGAAUGGUUGGAAAUCAUUCAAAGAGCAUAAAGGUAUAAAGGGAGCUUGACUGCAAGACCUACAAGUCAAGCAGGUGCGAAAGCAGGACUUAGUGAUCAGGCGAUUCAGAAUGGAAUGGUCGUCGCUUAACGGAUAAAAGUUACCCCGGGGAUAACAGGCUGAUACCACCCAAUAGUUCACAUAGACGGUGGUGUUUGGCACCUCGAUGUCGGCUCGUCAUAUCCUGGAGGUGGAGUCGCUUCCAAGGGUUGGGCUGUUCGCCCAUUAAAAUGGCACGCGAGCUGGGUUCAGAACGUCGUGAGACAGUUCGGUCCCUAUCCGUCGUGGGCGCAGGAAAAUUGAGGAGAGCUAUCCUUAGUACGAGAGGACCGGGAUGGACCUACCUCUGGUGUAUCUGUUGUCACGCCAGUGGCAGUGCAGAGUAGCUAUGUAGGGAAGGGAUAAACGCUGAAAGCAUCUAAGCGUGAAGCCCUCUCCAAGAUGAGUUUUCCCAUUGUUUAACAAGUAAAAUCCCAGAAAGACUAACUGGUAGAUAGGCUAGAAGUGGAAGUGUAGUGAUACAUUGAGCGGACUAGUACUAAUAGAUUGAGGAUUUAAUCCC
rnacentral:rRNA from 1 species